GACGAACGCUGGCGGCGUGCUUAACACAUGCAAGUCGAACGGAAAGGCCCUGCUUUUGUGGGGUGCUCGAGUGGCGAACGGGUGAGUAACACGUGAGUAACCUGCCCUUGACUUUGGGAUGACUUCAGGAAACUGGGGCUAAUACCGGAUAGGAGCUCCUGCUGCAUGGUGGGGGUUGGAAAGUUUCGGCGGUUGGGGAUGGACUCGCGGCUUAUCAGCUUGUUGGUGGGGUAGUGGCUUACCAAGGCUUUGACGGGUAGCCGGCCUGAGAGGGUGACCGGCCACAUUGGGACUGAGAUACGGCCCAGACUCCUACGGGAGGCAGCAGUGGGGAAUAUUGCACAAUGGGCGGAAGCCUGAUGCAGCAACGCCGCGUGCGGGAUGACGGCCUUCGGGUUGUAAACCGCUUUCGCCUGUGACGAAGCGUGAGUGACGGUAGUGGGUAAAGAAGCACCGGCUAACUACGUG
rnacentral:rRNA from 1 species